rnacentral:rRNA from 1 species
AGUGAACGCUGGCGGUAGGCCUAACACAUGCAAGUCGAACGGCAGCACAGGAGGGCUUGCUCUCUGGGUGGCGAGUGGCGGACGGGUGAGGAAUACAUCGGAAUCUACCUUUUCGUGGGGGAUAACGUAGGGAAACUUACGCUAAUACCGCAUACGACCUACGGGUGAAAGUGGGGGACCGCAAGGCCUCACGCGAUUAGAUGAGCCGAUGGCCGAUUAGCUAGUUGGCGGGGUAAUGGCCCACCAAGGCGACGAGCGGUAGCUGGUCGGGGGGGGUGAUCAGCCACACUGGAACGUAGGCACGGUCAAGACUCCUACGGGAGGCAGCAGUGGGGAAUAUUGGACAAUGGGCGCAAGCCUGAUCCAGCCAUACCGCGUGGGCGAAGAAGGCCUUCGGGUUGUAGAGCCCUUUUGUUGGGAAAGAAAUCCUGUCGAUUAAUACUCGGUGGGGAUGACGGUACCCAAAGAAUAAGCACCGGCUAACUUCGUGCCAGCCGCCGCCGUAA